CCGGAAUUGCUAGUAAUGGCAGGUCAGCAUACUGCCGUGAAUACGUUCCCGGGCCUUGUACACACCGCCCGUCACACCAUGAGAGUUGGGAAUACCCGAAGCCUGUGAGCUAACUUAUAAGAGGCAGCAGUCGAGGGUAGAAUCAAUGAUUGGGGUGAAGUCGUAACAAGGUACC
rnacentral:rRNA from 1 species